rnacentral:rRNA from 1 species
ACGCACGCUGGCGGCGUGCUUCACCCAUGCCAGUCGAACGGAAAGGCCCUGCUUUUGUGGGGUGCUCGAGUGGCGAACGGGUGAGUAACACGUGGGUAACCUGCCCUUGACUUUGGGAUAACUUCAGGAAACUGGGGCUAAUACCGGAUAGGAGCUCCUGCUGCAUGGUGGGGGUUGGAAAGUUUCGGCGGUUGGGGAUGGACUCGCGGCUUAUCAGCUUGUUGGUGGGGUAGUGGCUUACCAAGGCUUUGACGGGUAGCCGGCCUGAGAGGGUGACCGGCCACAUUGGGACUGAGAUACGGCCCAGACUCCUACGGGAGGCAGCAGUGGGGAAUAUUGCACAAUGGGCGGAAGCCUGAUGCAGCAACGCCGCGUGCGGGAUGACGGCCUUCGGGUUGUAAACCGCUUUCGCCUGUGACGAAGCGUGAGUGACGGUAAUGGGUAAAGAAGCACCGGCUAACUACGUG